UACGGGGGGGGCAAGCGUUAUUCGGAAUUACUGGGCGUAAAGCGCACGUAGGCGGCUUUGUAAGUUAGAGGUGAAAGCCCGGAGCUCAACUCCGGAACUGCCUUUAAGACUGCAUCGCUUGAACAUCGGAGAGGUGAGUGGAAUUCCGAGUGUAGAGGUGAAAUUCGUAGAUAUUCGGAAGAACACCAGUGGCGAAGGCGACUCACUGGACGAUUGUUGACGCUGAGGUGCGAAAGCGUGGGGAGCAAGCAGG
rnacentral:rRNA from 1 species